CCAACAACAAGCCAAAUGAGCGGGAACACAACAGAAGAUUCCAUUACUUAUCGUGCUGGAAGCUUUCACAGUUUUGUUCUAAAGAGUUCUCUUUGAUCCGUGGCAGGACACCACUUAUAAGGUAAGAAUGUUAAGUGUUUCUCCAUCAGUGAGUCACUGUCUUAGCUGCUUUAAUAAUUCAAAAGGUGGUGCAAUUUGGAUGACAUGUGGUCCAUUCUCUUCCUCCCAUGUUGCUUUUACCAUUGGUCUGUCUGUGUACAUUGCCUCGUUGCAGCUAAGCCAUCUAUCUCGGUUCUCAGGCCAAGUCAACCAUCAAUCAUCGUCCUCCCCAGUGGAGUCCAACUACUCAAUGGCAGGUGUGUUUAAACUGCUGAACAUUAUUAGAUGGUGGCCUACUUCUCCGGACAGCUUCAGAUGCCCAUCUCCGCGUGCUAAUUAAAAAGAGCAUAACAGGUGGUGUCGAUGAUGGUCUUUGGGAUAGUAGAGCAUCUUUCUCCCGUAUUGUGAGGCACAUGGUAGGGAAUCAUGCCAAAAGAGAGUUGGGUUGAUUUAUAUAAAGAAGACGAAUAGUAAUCAACAUCAGCUACUUGCAUCACUUUGACGAGGUGACCAGAAUCUUUUGAACGUUGAUGCAACUUGCUUCGGCUACUUGCAUCAAUCACUUGUGAACAAAAAGAACCAAGAAUCCAAGGAGGAACAAGAAGACAUUCUGAAGAAUGAAGAAUGGUACAAUAUGCCUCGGCUACUUGCAUCGCCUUUGACGGGGUGAAAUGAAUCUUAUGAAGAAUGGUACAGCAUGCUUCGGCUACUUGCAUCACUUUGGAAGAACCUAAAGAAUGGGUCCAUCAGAUCACCUCAAGCAUUUUGUGGCACAAGUUCUCCAGAAUAUGCAUCUAUAACAUGUAUUUAGAGCUGUCAGAUUUCAAAAACCCUUGUUAUUUGGGCAGCAUGUCAGGAACAUUAUCACCAUGAAGCUCCGAAGCACAUCCUUUUUUAGCAUCUGUAAUUAAUGGCACUGUAUUUACUGAAUGCUGUAUGUUUAGUGUUUGUGUGUGGGCAACAUUUUGCU